AUCCUCACAUAGCGCUCUGCCGAUGAUCAGACGACUAAAGGAGAAACUAUUUAAAUCUCUAAUGAACAACUUGACUCCAGGUCACUCAACUCUCACUGGUCUCAGGCGUACACGAACAACAGUCUCGCUGAUACUUGGACAUAAACUCACGAGUAACUGUUCAAAAGAGCCGGUUAGCUUUACAUCGACGGACUUCACAUUUGUUUGCGUGAGGAAGAAAUGAAAAAUAUAACUUUUUCUUUGUGGAUUGUCCUACUUUGUGCAAUUGCGCUCUUUGCGUCGGGAGUGGAAGACAACGAACUUUUGAAAGAUGAGGAGUUUAAAGUGCUCUACGACGACACCGCCAUCCAUGACCGGAUCACGUACAACAUGAGGAAGUGCCUGAAUCUCGACGUGGACGGCUGUAUCCUGGUGCCUGGUGAGAAGAGGAGUCUGCAGGAGUGUGGCUUCAACGUCACAGCCAAGACCUUCUUCAUCAUCCACGGCUGGACGACGAGUGGGAUGUUUGAGAGUUGGAUGCAGAAGCUGGUGUCUGCCAUGAUGCAGCGAGAACCGGAGUCCAACGUGGUCAUCGUUGAUUGGCUUCCCAUGGCCCACCAGCUCUACCCCGACGCGGUCAACCACACCCACCAAGUUGGCCUCAGUGUCGCCACCACCAUUAACUGGCUCCAGGAGGAACAGCAGCUGCCCCUGCAGAAUGUGCACCUGAUUGGCUACAGCUUGGGGGCCCAUGUGGCGGGCUACGCCGGAACAUCUGUGAGAGGGACUAUUGGCAGAAUCACGGGUCUAGACCCGGCAGGGCCCAUGUUUGAGGGGGUGGGAGAUGAUAAGCGCCUCUCAUCGGGCGACGCCGACUUUGUGGACAUCCUGCAUACGUACACGCGCGAGGCACUGGGUAUAAGCAUUGGGAUCCAGCAGCCCAUCGGAGACAUUGACAUCUACCCCAACGGUGGAGACGUGCAGCCUGGCUGCUCCCUGCGUGAGAUGCUUACCAGUACAGCUGGAGGAAGCUUCAUGGAUGUGAUUAAGUGUGAACACGAGCGGGCUGUGCUCCUGUUUGUGGACUCGCUGAUGAACAACGAGUACAUGAGCCUUGCCUACCAGUGCACUGACCCCGAACGCUUCAAGAAGGGCAUCUGCCUGAGCUGCCGCAAGAACCGCUGCAACAACAUUGGUUACAACACCAAGAAGAUGAGGAAGAGGAGCAACUGUAAGAUGUACCUGAAGACCCGUGCUGUCACACCCUUCGGAGGCAUCCAUUAUCAGAUGAAGAUGCAUGUGUUCAACAGAAAGCAGGCUGAUGAUGCCGACCCAACCUUCCACGUCAAGCUGUAUGGAGCUCACAAUGACACCGAUGACCUGCAUGUAGACUUUCCAAACAAAGUGGGUCUGAACCUUACCAACACCUUCCUGGUCUUCACCGAGGACGACAUCGGGGAUCUGCUGAAGAUUCGUCUGAGCUGGGAGGGGGCCAACGAGUCGCUAGGGUCCAUCUGGAAGAACAUGAAGAAGUCUUUCUGGUCCUGGAACCGCACCAGCACGCCCAUCAACCAGGUGCUGGAGGUCCGCAGAAUCCGUGUCAAGUGUGGAGAAACGCAGAAGAAGUUCACAUUCUGUGCCCAGGACCCCUCAGUGACUGAAAUCUCUCCAGGACAGGUCAUCACGUAUGUCAAGUGUCGUGACGGCUGGGAGGUCAAACCAAGUAAAAAAAGGUUGCAUAACUUAUAAGGAUUCAGCACUUCAUCAAUCAAUGGCAUGGGACCUAAAGUCGGAAGGCAUGUCUCUGGAUGACCAAGGUGAUGUUCUAAGGCACUGGAAUUCUUGGAAAACCUCAAAAGGAUGAAGAAAAAAAACCCCAGAUGGAUUGGAUUUAUGACGCACUUUCACAGCUGCUCCAAUAACUUUACAGUAUGUGUGGUGAUACUUAGUUUGUCUAAUCCACCAGUAAACUUCUGUCACAUGGUUUCAAUACUUUAUAUGGGUGGGGGGGGAUAUUUUUUAAAUGUUUUUAUUUAAGAGUAAACCAUAAGAUUGCUGCACAUAUCUCACUGAAUUGACAGGUUUCAAAUCUUCAACAUAGCAAACCAGGUGUGACGAUUUUGGCAGCGACUUGCCUUGCGUGAUGUACGUUACCCCCCCAAAUUAAUUUAGGACUUCUGACCUUACUGUGCAGCCAUAUUUCAUAGGAAAUUGGCCCAAUGUUUUUAUACCGUAAAUUUCUGUGGCUGCAGUAUGACAUAAGGUUUCAGGCUGCAUCUGUUACUACUUAUUGGCCUGCACGUCACAAUCAAGAAAGUGAAGUGAUUCUUGGAGAAGUUUGAGAAAUUGAAAUUUCCCACCGCAAAUGCCUUCCAAAAAAGGAACUGAAAUUAAACCAUGUGGCACAACUCCAACCAGAAAAUGGACAUUGUGUGGCAUUUCUUACUGUAAAUAAAUACUAAUGAAUUUGUCUUAGAUGGAUAAGUAAUUCAAUCAGUGAAGUUUCAGAUUCAUACUGUCAAAGUUGAACAUUUUUAUAGAGAUUACCUUUCAAUUCUAAGGCUUUUAAAAUCUGGUGAAAAAUAUUUUGGUAUGCAAAUAACAUUUCUAGAAUGAAUCUGUAAUAUAAGCUAAAUCAACAUGAUCACUACUGUUCUUUUUUUUUU